UACCAAAUGCUUAAGGUGGUGAACUGUCAAUUUAAUUUUGCAUCCUUGAUUGUUUGAUGCUCACCUAUUUGAAAUCCUGAUUUAUUCCUGCAUCUUAUAGGCUGGAAUUUCAUCGUACAGACACUUCUAAUUUUUUCCUUUUCUCCUGCUUCAAAUUUAUGAAAGAGACUUGAUAGAAUGCAUUAGAAAACAAUAUAAUUGGUGUGCAUGAGUGGGUGUGCAGAUCUGAAGGACUAUGGCUGCUGAUUGGGGCUGUUUUCUUGAUUCCUAGCUUUGAAAGUUUAUUUUUGUUUGUUCACAAUUUCUGGAUAAUUUCCACAGUAAUUAGCUUGAGAGGUUUUUUUUUUUUUUUUUCAAAUUUAUAAAUCUGAUGGUUGGAUGUUGGUUUUGUGUAGGUAAUACCGGUCAAAUUGGAGAGGGUCUUAUCAGAGGAGGCAUACAUGCUUCUUUAUGCGAGGUAAUGUUGUUGUGCAGCAUGAUUGGUAUAAAAUCAGGAUUUUCUGGUUUGCUGGGGUGUAAAUAGAUUUAGAUUUUUCAUUCAGGCAUUCUCCGCGACCACCAGCUUUGAUAAGAAAUAAUGUAUCUCAUGGUGUGAAGUCCAAGAAAAAGAGCUUGGAAGCUGUUGGCCUUAAUAAUACAUCCAAAAUAAGAUCGAACUCAUAUAUUCCUAGUUUGGAUUCCAAGGCACAGCAGAAGCCUUGUACAGACAGCAAUCAAUUAUUUGAUAGAGAUGAAUGGAAAUUCCGUUCAAUGCAAAGAUCUCCUGCUGUGGAUUCAUUAAGUGAGAGCUCCUCCAUUUUCAGCUGGUCUGAUGUGAGUUCUUGCAGCACUGCAAGUACAAAGGAGUCUUCUAGGAGUGAAGACUUGUCUGAUUUAAUAUUUGGCGAUACACCUAGUUGGUACAGAAGUUAUGGGAUUACAUCAGACUCAAUUGCAUCUUCCUCUUAUCAAAACUCAAACGUAGGAUCAGAAGGGGAAAAUGAUGCUUGGCAGCAUGGCUGGAGAGAAGGCUUGGGACGGGAUGGAAACCCAGCAAUUUUGUUUACCGAGUCAACUAAGCAAUAUAGAAACUUAGGCCACCAGUAUGUUAGUAAUGGUAGUAGUAGGGACAUUGAUUCUGAUCGUGUAGGGUGGGCUCACCCUUCUGAUGUAAGAUUAAGGAGAGCAAAUGGGGACUACAGAUCAGCUCAACCGUUUUAUUGAGGUUUGAGUUGAGAUUAAAUUAAGUUCGAAAAUUAAUUAAUCUAUGGGAAAGUGCUCUCUCUAUAUUUAUGCUCUGUGAGUCACCGUAGUUUGCUAGAAAAUCAAAAACAUUUUACCGUAGAUCGGUGUUUGUUUGAUCUUAAAUAGUGUUGGAAGUUGAGUACUGGUCAAAUAUUAAAAUCUCACAAAAGCUUGCCUCAUUGUUUUGUUUGGCCCAACUUCCGACAAUAGCUAGUAUUUUGGAAAGCAAAACGGUGUCGUAUGAGUGGCCAGGAAAAAAUAAAUAAAAAUGAUUUAAAGGAAGCCGCCGAAAAGCGAGAACCCACCAGCAGCAGCAUUUGAGAAUCUCCUAGAAAACGAAACCAAAGAAACGACAGGCAAAUGCCUGUGGCAUUAACAAUACCAAGCUGCCACCAUUGCUGCCAGAAGCUAAACAAUCGCAUUUCUCCCUCACUAUUUCUUUUCAGCCGCUGCAGUAAAACAAUGGUGACCUCCGGCAGCAGCAGUAACAAUAAUGCAGGCGCUUUCACGACAAUCAAAGAGACAGUCACAUUCGAGAAAGAAAUUAAAAAGAGCAAAUUCAUCGCCAUAGCCGGCCCCAUCUCCAACGAACAAUCUGCCCAAUCCUUCCUUUCGCAGGUAACACUAAUUUAUAAUUAAUCUUCUUCCACAGCUCUCCAACUUGAUUAUCAUAUUUCAAAUUAAUAUCUGGUGAACGUUUCUUUUUUUUUUUAAUAUUUAUUAUAGGUCAGUGAUCCUCGUGCUACUCACAAUUGCUGGGCAUAUAAGGUAUUAGGCGCUUACAUGAUCGUUAAUCUUGAGUUUUCAAUCUAAUAUUUUCAGGAAUUGGUUUGAUUGUUUAUUAUUUUAUGUUAAUUUUAUAGGUUGGAAAUCAAUACCGGUCUAAUGAUGAUGGUGAACCAUCGGGAACAGCUGGCAAACCUAUUCAUUCUGCAAUUGUUUCUUCAGGUUUAGAUAGAAUCAUGGUUGUAGUCACAAGGUAUUUUUAUUAUUAUUAUUUUUUAAUCUCGCGCGUUCAUCCUUUCAAGUUCCGUUCUUUUAUACAUGUGCAUUAUUACAUGUUGAAUGAAUUGACAAUCUGCAGGUAUUUUGGAGGUAUAAAACUGGGUACUGGGGGACUAGUUAGGGCUUAUGGUGGAGUGGCAUCCGAAUGCUUAAGAAAUGCUCCUACAAUUCUUGUGAAAUCUAGGGUAAUUCAGUCCUUUCUCAGGCUUUUUUUUUUUUUUCAUAGAACUAAUUUAUGCUUAUGCCAUACAUUAUGGUUAAUUUUCUACUAAUUUGAUUUCAUGAUUUUUAAUCUUGGAAUUUUGUUUCUAUUUUGUAGGUUCCAAUGGGUGUGGAGGUUCCAUUUGAACUUCUUGGAAUUUUAUACCAUCAGGUAAAUUUGGACUUGUAGUGAUGCUUUGGUGUAAUUUGGAUUUUGCAUUCCACAUGAUUGGAGUGUAAGAAAGAACUUCUAAUUUUUAUUCUCUUUGUUAGACCGUCAUGUUAUGUUAAGUUCAAAUUUUACAGGAUUAUUUGAUUGUAUUUCACAUUUUUUAUGUCCCAUUUACUUCACCUACCUGCUAAGGCUUUUUUUUUUUUUUUUUUAAAUUUAUUCCCUCAAAAGAUCAUAACCUUUGUGAUGUUAAGUGUUAAAAGACCUUCAUGGAAUAGAAUUCUAACUACUUAUGCAGUCUGUAGUCAUUGUGGAUUACUUUUUUGACAAAUGCUAAUUGUUGCCUUAUGUGACCUUUUCUGGCUCUAAAAAAUGGAACCUGUGACCUUCAUGUGGUAAUUUCAGUAUUUUAACUUAUUUCUUAUCUUUGAUGCUCACAGCUGCAAUUGUUUCAAGUUGAGGACAUCAACCAAGAUUAUGACACUGGUAAAGAUGGAAUCACCAUGGUAACUUUCAAAGUUGAUUUUGAUCGGGCUGAGAAUUUGGAGGAUGCUAUCAAAAACAAUUGUAGGCGAGAUCUUGUGUUCUAUAAACACUGAGAACGACUUGGCUAGUUAUCAUAUUUCAGUUUAGAGAUUGCCAACACUUCAGAUUCAAUUGGGGAUUAGUAUGUACAUCUUUUUCCGUGCUUUAAAACAAUUUCUUGUGCUACAUAUGGGAUUUUUUUUUUUUUUUUUGAUUACAUGAGACUAUUGCUCAGAUUACAACUCAUAUACAUGAGACUAUUACUGAUAUUUACAAAUCAGACUAUUACUGGGACCAACUGACAUCAAUGCUAAUGGAGCUCUGCCCAGAUUUUAACCCUCACAAAUAUUCGAGGGAUGUCUACUCCUCACUCAUGGGUAAGGGAGAAGACUACCUUCACUCAAAUUAAUUGAAGAAGGAAAUACCCCCACAAUACUUUUGUGGGGGUUCGAACUGUUGCCCUCCAAGUUGGAGGGCAGCAGCCCUGGCCACUCAGGCUACUGCCCGAGUGGUUGCUACAUAUGGGAUUGAAUAUACUAUUAACUGCACAUUUGCAUAAAAUUAGCUUUGAGAGGUAUUAUCGGUACAGUUAAAUACUGGUGGCUAGUAUUACAUUAUUUUUGGAAAGUCUUGGCUCGCCUGAUAUGUUAAUAUUGUAUAUACAAUUUCAGGUUAAUACUAAUUCUGUUAUUUGUUAUUCAUAUUUGCUUUGUUCAUUAAUGCAUAGCUUUUACUUUCCUUCCUGCAUCAAAUUCAGAUAAGUGAACCCCAAAGAUAUUAUUAAGCCUACUCAGAUUUGCAUUAAAGGAAAGAUGAAGAAAGUCAAGAUCAUCAACCCUUACCUUAAGCUGAGACGUGCUUUAUGGUUAGUCUUGAAAGAUGAAAACUAGUGAAAUGUGUAAAACAAGUAUAUAUGAACCAAAGAAGAUUGAAAAAAAAAACAUGGGAAGGCAGAGACACAAGCAUAAGCACCAUGGCAGGCUCUGCAGGUAUCUGACUUCAAGCUCUUCCAGCAGCAGUAAUAUUGCAUGUCAAGGGCUAGCAGUCAUUUUGACAAGGGUGGGGAGAGGAAUGGAAUGAUUGGUAUUCGUGUUGGGGUAUUGGGGGUUGAAGGGAUUGUUGUUGGGAUAGGAGGCAGAGGAGUAGCUGGCAAUGGGGGUAGUGUAAAAACCUUUUGGGCUGUAGGCAAGGUAGGCAAUGUUGGAUUUGGCAAAGAUGGGUCUUGGGUGCUUGGCAAAGGGGAAGUGUAGGCUUUAGUAGAAUUGGUUGCGUUGGUAAUGUGGGCAAGGGAUAGAGGGAAGUGGCGGCAAUGUGUUUUUUGGGGAGUUCGGAAUGGGGGUAAUGGACGCGAUGUGGCCUUGGGCAAAUAUGGUAUUGUAGGCAGUGUUAAUGCUGGGGAUGUAGUCUCAAUAUAGAUACCGGCAAGCCCAGGCCUGAUUGAGCAUUCUCAUUCAUGGAUCAUCUGGCCUUUUUGCCAUAUACUUUGAAGUUCGAACUCUUUCAACUUUAAUGAGGUUUUGCUUCUAUACAUGUAUCAGUUCUGUUAUUUCUCACCAAUUUUGCUUGGUUAGUUUUAAAAUAUGUUGACUUAGACAGGGAAACAAGUCACAGAAAAUCAUUGAGGAACAUUUCGUGAUUUUAAUUUUUUUUCUUUGUUUUUUAUUUAUCUUUUUUUCACUUGAAGAUAUGGGUCCGGUUAUAUUGAAAGGCCAAUAACAAUGCUCACCAUGAGACUUGCAAUACUUGGUAAGCUAUAAUAUUCGUGAGUUAUUAUAGCCGAUCCUAAGUUAGAGCUAUCUGGUACCAUACAUAUUCUUUGUGAGGAUAUCAGAGCUAAUUACAUGCCGCUUUCAUUUGUGCCAUUUUUUUUUUUUAAAGAUACUUCAAAUUUUUGGUGAAUUCGUUUGAAUUGUCACUUGUGGGUUUCCGGCUGUUGUUAAAGAUACUUCAAAUUUUUGGUGAAUUCGAGGAUAUCAGAGCUAAUUACAUGCCGCUUUCAUUUGUGCCAUUUUUUUUUUUUAAAGAUACUUCAAAUUUUUGGUGAAUUCGUUUGAAUUGUCACUUGUGGGUUUCCGGCUGUUGUUAAUAAGGAGUUGAUCAUACUAAGCUUCAGGAAAACACAGCAGUCAAGGCUGUAUGGACAUUAAUGCUUUUGAUGGUUAAUUUAUAGAUAUUCAAAAAUAUUUGAAUCUCCCAAAUAUUGACAGGUGCAAGAUGGUGCUUUGUUUCCUUUUUGCCUUAACUUCAAGUAAGGACUUGAAUUAAAAAAAAAAAAAAAAAAAAAAAAAAAAAAAAAAAAAAAAAAAAAAAAAAAAAAAAAAAAAAAAAAAAAAAAAAAAAAAAAAAAAAAAAAAAAAAAAAAAAAAAAAAAAAAAAAAAAAAAAAAAAAAAAAAAAAAAAAAAAAAAAA
rnacentral:lncRNA from 1 species